rnacentral:tRNA from 1 species
AAAAUAUAGUUAAAUUAGUAUAACGUUUCGUUUACAUUGAAAAAGCUUAUCGUGCAAAUCGAUUAAUUUUGA